AACGAACGCUGGCGGCAUGCCUAACACAUGCAAGUCGAACGAACCCUUCGGGGUUAGUGGCGCACGGGUGCGUAACACGGGGGAAUCUGCCCUUUGCUUCGGAAUAACAGUUAGGAAUGACUGCUAAUACCGGAUAAUGUCGCAAGACCAAAGAUUUAUCGGCAAAGGAUGAGCCCGCGUAGGAUUAGCUUGUUGGUGGGGUAAUGGCCCAUCAAGGCGACGAUCCUUAGCUGGUCUGAGAGGAUGAUCAGCCACACUGGGACUGAGACACGGCCCAGACUCCUACGGGAGGCAGCAGUGGGGAAUAUUGGACAAUGGGCGAAAGCCUGAUCCAGCAAUGCCGCGUGAGUGAUGAAGGCCUUAGGGUUGUAAAGCUCUUUUACCAGGGAUGAUAAUGACAGUACCUGGAGAAUAAGCUCCGGCUAACUCCGUGCCAGCCGCCGCCGUAAAAC
rnacentral:rRNA from 1 species